GGGACGCGGCUGUCUCCUCCCUCCGGAGGGCGGGGAGCAGCAGCAGGCCAGGCGAGGCGUAGCAACAGCAGCAGCAGCAGCAGGUGGAGGUCGUGGGGCGGCCGCGCCAGGGAAAUCUCUUGGUUGGCUUGGCUUCGCUCCUUGAGAAAGACAAACCGGGUAGGGAGCCCUCGCCACUACCCAAAAGGUGCAUUUCCCACCAUGUGGCAGAUAAGUUCUCUAACGGUAGCCUGUGCCCAAAUGGAAUCCUGAUCCUGAGCUUCCUCUAAACAGUUAUUGUACUCAUUCAGAUGUCAAUAUAUACACAGGGGAAAAAGACGCAGGAUAGAACCCUAUAGCAAAAUGGACCAAACUUGAAGUUAUAAGGUACAUGUUCUAACAGGUUGUUUAGAAGAUAAAGUGUUGCAAAAACUUUUUUCUUCUUUGGUGAUCACUCAUCACUACAGGACGAAUGGUAUAUUACAGUACAAUGGAACCUCAGAUAAUCCUUUCCCUUACAGUUGAUUUUAAUCUCGAAGGUCAUUUUGAGAUGCUCCCCCUCUCCAGUUCAAAAUCUAUAUAUUUUAUGUGCACUUACCUGGGAGUUAAGUUCAUUUGAACUCAAUGGGGAUUGCUUCCUAACAAACGUGGUCUGCAUUGUUAGCCAUUGUUGAAGGAUAAAAUGUCCAUGCCUACUCUUAGAAUUCUAAGAGCAUGCACUUAUCCUGUGUAUUUUAAUUAUGGACAUUUAUACUGUAAUGUUUGUGUAAAUGGUUUUUAUCCCUGUAAACACUUAGAAGUCCAUUUUAGGUUUCGGUGUUAUGUAUUUUCUUCUCAAUCUGCUAACUACAUACUGUGCUGCUGAAAUGAGCAGUCCUUUUGUAUUUGAUCAUUCCUCACCACGCCCAACACACAUGCUCCAGCCGUCACUGGGCUCUUUUUUUGGCAGGGUCCCCUAGCCUUGGGGCCUCCCUCUCAAACCUAUUGAUAUCUCCCUCUUAGGCAUGGACGGUGUCACACUGGCUAUUUCAGCAAUGGAACUCGCUCCUGAACCUUGAAAAUUGAGGUGGUGGGUCAGAAAAACCAUCCUGGCAUGUGGUAGCAACUAAAGUAAUGUCUGUAGAGGUCAGUCAUGUGCAGGACUGCACUUUUAUGUCAAGGAGCCAAAUGAAUCCUGUCUCUCUCCCCCCCUUGGAAAUCCUUUGUGUCACACUCCUUCAGGAACAGCACAUAAUAGGGUCACCAAACACCACUCCUUCCCUUAUCUGUCAUCAGGGUUGGGUUUUUUAAAACGACUAACAGAUAAGCACUAGUUUCAGAUAUCAAAAUAUAUCAUCUGUACCAAUGAACUUUCCUGUAAGCGCCUCCCCUUUCUUGUUCAAUAGGUACUCUCACCUCCAACACACUCAACCCCAGCCUUGCAGAAUAAGGUACAGUAAGCCCCCAAGUUAUGCGAGGGUUAUGUUGCAGGGAUCACACCUAAAGCCAAAAUUGCACAUGGUCAAAACACGCUGGCAGUCCCACCCGCCAUUGGAACAAAGGUCCCCCCCCAACACCCUUUUUAUUUUUGGGACAAGCGCAUAAAGCUGAAUGUGUGCAAGUUACAGGCUUAUUGUAUUACACUUGCUCUCAGGUCCAGCUGUCCAACGUCCGCAACUUGUCUGAAACUCAAUCAGAGAUCCUUUCUUGGAGAGACUCAUUUUCUUUUCCUUGUUGUGCUCAUUCAUUCCUGUUUUCUCACCUCAAAAUCUCAGAUCUCACUAACCUCAUUACUUUCAACCAUUGCCCCAAAGCCUUUGAUUUUCAGCUAAAAACUUUCCCCAAAGCCCACUAACCAGACCUUUCUUAUUUUACAAGAGUUGGGUUGCAACUCAGCUUGCAUUGUAGAGAUAUACCUGCAAGCGAAGGGCAGAGAAACCUCCAAGCUUCCUAGCAGUGAAUCAGAAUUGCCAGCAUUUUAACUCCAUAUGCCAGGCACGGCCAAACUUGGCCCUCCAGCUGCUUUGGGACUACAACUGGACCAGUGGUCAGGGAUGAUGGGAAUUGUAGUCCCCUGGAGGGCCAUGUUUGGCCAUGCCUGCCAUAUAUGCCAAGACCUUACUCCGCAAACUCUUAAUUCUUUUUAAAAGCAACCAGUUCUUAUCAGCAUCCAUUUUUCUCUUGCAAUACCACUUUCUGCCCUUCAGCCAAACCUCCUUCCACCCCAUUCAAUUCCACUCCCUUUCCCUGACCACAUUGUUUUUUCUCAUGUGUUCCUAGGAAUGUUUCUAACAAUUACUUGUACUGGUUUUAACUCUGCUAAGAUCAGACUAUAUUUAGUGUGCUGCUUUAUUGCUUAAUAUUUUUUAGUAAAUGUGCUACUUCCCUUUUGAGACAAUAAGCUUAAUUCCCUUCUAAUUUCUGCUGCCUGUUAAUUUUAUAGGUGAUGAACACUGGAGUGUGUUGUUCUCUAUCAAAAGAUCCCUAGAACUGAGUGUCAGGAUUGCAUGUGGGUCCUGAAGCAUACAUGUAAACUGCAUACCUAAUAGUAAUAUAUGACAGCUGGACCAUGUUGAUUUGCAACAAAACGCAAGCACGGUUCUAUUCACUCCAUUACUGAUUGUUAACAUAUCUUGUCCGCCUACUCCCCAAAUCUACUCUGCUCGCUCCUUUUUGUUGGGCCUUUGAAUGUACCAUUAAAAUUAUGUAUUUUGAUUUCCAAGCUUAA